GAGAAAUUAGUUUAUUUAAAAAAUAUUAACUUGUCAAGUUAAAGUAACCUUUAAAGUAUUUCUUA
rnacentral:tRNA from 1 species